rnacentral:rRNA from 1 species
UACAGAGGUCUCAAGCGUUGUUCGGAUUCAUUGGGCGUAAAGGGUGCGUAGGUGGCGGGGUAAGUCAGGUGUGAAAUUUCGGAGCUUAACUCCGAAACUGCAUUUGAUACUGCCUUGCUUGAGGACUGGAGAGGAGACUGGAAUUCACGGUGUAGCAGUGAAAUGCGUAGAGAUCGUGAGGAAGACCAGUGGCGAAGGCGGGUCUCUG